CCUACGGGACGCAGCAGUGAGGAAUAUUGGUCAAUGGCCGAGAGGCUGAACCAGCCAAGUCGCGUGAGGGAUGACGGCCCUACGGGUUGUAAACCUCUUUUGUCGGGGAGCAAGACCCGCCUCGUGCAGGCGGAGCGAGAGUACCCGAAGAAAAAGCAUCGGCUAACUCCGUGCCAGCAGCCGCGGUAAUACGGAGGAUGCGAGCGUUAUCCGGAUUUAUUGGGUUUAAAGGGAGCGUAGGUGGACAGUUAAGUCAGUUGUGAAAGUUUGCGGCUCAACCGUAAAAUUGCAGUUGAUACUGGCUG
rnacentral:rRNA from 1 species